rnacentral:rRNA from 1 species
CCCUUAGAUGUUCUGGGCCGCACGCGUGCUACACUGAGUGGAUCAGCGGGUCAGGUUGCGCGAAAGUGUUUCCUAAUCUUGAAAUCCGCUCGUGAUGGGGAUUGACGGUUGCAAUUUUCCGUCAUGAACGAGGAAUACCUUGUAAGCGCGGGUCAUCAUCCCGCGCUGAAUACGUCCCUGCCCUUUGUACACACCGCCCGUCGCUCCUACCGAUUGAGUGGUCCGGUGAGGCUUUGGGAUCUGAGCGGAAAGAUCGUUUCGCUGUUUCUGCUCGGAAAACUCAGUCGAACCUUAUCAUUUAGAGGAAGGAGAAGUCGUAACA